rnacentral:rRNA from 1 species
UACGUAGGGACCAAGCGUUGUUCGGAUUUACUGGGCGUAAAGGGCGCGUAGGCGGCGUGACAAGUCACUUGUGAAAUCUCCGGGCUUAACUCGGAACGGCCAAGUGAUACUGUCGUGCUAGAGUGCAGAAGGGGCAAUCGGAAUUCUUGGUGUAGCGGUGAAAUGCGUAGAUAUCAAGAGGAACACCAGUGGCGAAGGCGACUACCUGGCCUGUUCUUGACGCUGAGGCGCGAAAGCUAGGGGAGCAAAACGGG